rnacentral:rRNA from 1 species
GACGAACGCUGGCGGCGUGCCUAAUACAUGCAAGUAGAACGCUGAAGGAGGAGCUUGCUUCUCUGGAUGAGUUGCGAACGGGUGAGUAACGCGUAGGUAACCUGCCUGGUAGCGGGGGAUAACUAUUGGAAACGAUAGCUAAUACCGCAUAAGAGUAGAUGUUGCAUGACAUUUGCUUAAAAGGUGCAAUUGCAUCACUACCAGAUGGACCUGCGUUGUAUUAGCUAGUUGGUGGGGUAACGGCUCACCAAGGCGACGAUACAUAGCCGACCUGAGAGGGUGAUCGGCCACACUGGGACUGAGACACGGCCCAGACUCCUACGGGAGGCAGCAGUAGGGAAUCUUCGGCAAUGGACGGAAGUCUGACCGAGCAACGCCGCGUGAGUGAAGAAGGUUUUCGGAUCGUAAAGCUCUGUUGUAAGAGAAGAACGAGUGUGAGAGUGGAAAGUUCGCACUGUGACGGUAUCUUACCAGAAAGGGACGGCUAACUACGUG